UGUCGAGCUGAGUGAACAUUAAGAAUCACCUCACUGCUCCUGGACCCACAUGCUGCACCAAUGUAUUGUUGAUAAACAAGGCUUUGAUUCUAGACAUGUAUUGGUAAUGUUGGUGACACAACAUGAAGCCUUUCCAGCCUUUUCUGGCAGUCUUGUUAUGCAGAGUCCACACCCAGCCAUCACCAAAAUACUUUGCCCAACUCCUCACAGAGUUACGGCAUAAAAAAGAGAUGCAAGAUAAGUGUACCACCUCAACCCAGGGCACCACCACAACACACUCUGCACACUGAAACUGCACAAUUAAUUUUGAAGCUCAAACGGAUCUGAGCUUAAGGAGAAGGCCACCACAUCAGAGCAUGAAAGCUCAGCAUGUUAUCAAUCGAAUAACAGGUGGAACUAUGGGAGCUUCUACAUUUGGAUCAUUACAACAGAGAAGAGUAUAACAAAAAGCAAAAAAGUGGACAAUGAGAGCAAAACAAUUCUGUGCAGGGGCUAAAUUAGUUUAUAUUUUCAACACAAAAAGAUCUUAUACAUAUCCGGACUUACAUAAUCUGUAACCACCACCAAAGAGGAAUGUAUCCUGGCAACCACUGAUGUAUUGACACCUCACAAAGCAAUGGCAUGAAAAAUCCCAGUCUUAAUUAUUUUUUGGGGCAAUUUUGGUCUGAUUAGGUAGAGUAAGGAAAAUUAAUCAUUGUUGACAUUCAGAACCAUGUAAAAAAAAAAACACUUUCUCCAUAAAGACACAAAAAGCUAUGAAAGAAAAGGAAACUAAUUUAUUUUCUAGGUUAUUUAUGAGACAAGUGCAAAAACAAAUGAUAAAAAGAAAAAAAUUAGAGUACAUCCUUUUUUUUUU